GAACGCUGGCGGCGUGCCUAACACAUGCAAGUCGAGCGAUGAAACUUCCUUCGGGAAGUGGAUUAGCGGCGGACGGGUGAGUAACACGUGAGCAACCUGCCUCAAAGAGGGGGAUAGCCUUCCGAAAGGAAGAUUAAUACCGCAUAAAGUCACGGAUUCGCAUGUUUCUGUGACCAAAGGAGUAAUCCGCUUUGAGAUGGGCUCGCGGCGCAUUAGCUAGUUGGUAAGGUAACGGCUUACCAAGGCGACGAUGCGUAGCCGACCUGAGAGGGUGAUCGGCCACAUUGGGACUGAGACACGGCCCAGACUCCUACGGGAGGCAGCAGUGGGGAAUAUUGCGCAAUGGGCGAAAGCCUGACGCAGCAACGCCGCGUGGGUGAUGACGGUCUUCGGAUUGUAAAACCCUGUCUUCAGGGACGAUAAUGACGGUACCUGAGGAGGAAGCCACGGCUAACUACGUGCCAGCAGCCGCGGUAAU
rnacentral:rRNA from 1 species